rnacentral:lncRNA from 1 species
GGGAGGAAAGAGAGAGAGAGAGAGAGAGAGAGAGAGAGAGAGAGCUAGAGAGUAGACGGAAGAAAAAUUGAAAAAAAGAGGGGAGGAAAAAGGGAAAAGCAUCGGCAAAGAAACAGAGCAAAGGAAAACCAAGAAUCAAAGGAAUUAGCAAGGAAUUGCAGCUUGUUGCAGGCUCACCGAAUCCACCAUCAUCAAUUGCGAAAUUUCACCAAGCAAGAGCACUGUAAGCCAUUUUUUCCCUUUAAAUAUCAGUUUUCUUUUUCUUCUUCAAGAGCAACCGCUGGAAAUCCCAACCCCAAGAAUGUCUCUUGUGAAUUUGGUUCUUGCAAUUUUCCAGUGAUUGUCCAUAAUUUUUUGACCGCGCAUGCUUUAUGGGUUGAUUGGACUGAAAUUUUUUGUUUCUGAUAAAUUUUGGGGCCGAUUAUAGCUUCAAUUGAGUAGAGAAUCAGUGACCUUUUUUAUGCUCAUUUGUUGUUUGAUAAAAUGCAUGUUUGAAAGUUCUACUUGGAGACAAUUUAGCUGCGUUUGUGCGUGCGAGGAAAGUGAAAUCCCAGCAAGUACAAUGCUUGCUGGAAGAUAAUCAUUAAUUUGCCGGGUAGAUGACAAAUUUUUGAAGCGCGGGUUUUUCUUUUUUUGUGAACAUGUUCUGUUUGUGUGAAUUCAAGUUUUGGUAUGCACAGGAAGCAGUAGCUAUCUGAAAUUCUAUUCGAUUGGAGAAGACGACCCAAUUCCUAGGAUCACUGCGACAGCCCCACCUCCCCCUAAGGCGAACCAAAGGGUUCGGCAAACUGCCUGCUCAGCUCUCGCCGGGACUACGGGGUCGAAUCACUCCCACUUCUAUAGCACGCGUGAAAGAAACCAAAGAAAACGAACGAUGGGAAACCUCCAAGUUAAAUGUAACUUACCAACCCAUAAUAUUGUAAAAAUCCCUACCAGAUUUUAUUUUUAUUGUUUUUCCUUUUCACACUUGGAUACUACACUCGUCCGAAACCACAGUAACUUCAUUAAACUCCAGGUAGCCAUAAAGAAUGAACACG